CUUUGCAUUGUGUACACUCAAUUCAGUUAAAGAAGGCCCUUCAUCUGUGGAAUAUCUGGGUUUUUUAUGCUAAUACUUCUAUCCAUAUGACCAUCUGGCCAUGCAAAUUGAACAAAUCAAUUUUCAAUAUAGCAUAUUGCAGGAAUCUGAACAAAUAUAGAGGCAUAUAUUUGAUUGUGACAAAUAAACUUAUAAAAUAAAGUCUUUAAGGAUAAACGUUUUUCAACUUCCAAUGUUUUUGUAAUUAUCAAGCAUGUCUCAAAGAGCGACAUAGCUUGGGAAACCAUGCUAAGGAUUGUCUUAUUUUGGUUUAUAACCUAGGUCGACAUCAAUGGUAAUUGAACAAUGCAAGGUGAGAGAAAACAUAUGUGUGAAGGUGAUAGACUGGCUGGACCUUCUCCAAGUGUAUCUUCCAUCCUAUGCAAGGUCAUAAUCAGUAAGUAGCAUAUUGCAAGGUUUAGAUACAUGGUUAGAAAAUAUUCUAAAGUGAGAAAAACAAAAUUGACCCUGGAGGGAGAAAACAGUGACUCUGCCUUAGGUUUCAAACCCCCUGGUAACAGUGGAAUUCGUGUUUCAUAGUAAGAAUAACCUAGUGGAAUUCCUAUAUGAAAAAGAAAGGAAACAUGGUAUCAAGACAAUCAAAUAUACUGAGGUAUCAUACCAUAAGUCUUUGCUGCCAUUCUUCUUCACGUAAUUGAGGGAACUACACAGCGCAUCAUGUACUUCAUAGCACGCUUUACAUUCAGAGUCAUUACUAACCGAGCAAUGUCCUACAAAAACAUUGGAAGUAGAACCACCAGCACCCAACAAAGAAAAUUUGUCUGCAGCGGACGAUUGGACAAAAUAGAUGCCACAGGCUACCGAUCUACACAAAUAGGCAUUACCAAGUAAGUUCAUGUUCAGGCCCUUCCCUGUGUGACAUUUGACAUUCAAAAUCAUGAUCAAUUCAGUUCCUCUAUUAAACUAGGAUCAUGAGUGACACUGGAUUCUACCCAAUAUCCCUAAGCAUCAGAACAAAGAAUGAAGCAUUCAGAGCUUUCAACAAUUGCCACGGAUGUGUGUGUGGCACCGGGAGAUUUUUUUUUGACGUGUAUUCAUAUUUAAGCAAAUAUGUACAAGCUUUAGUAGUAGACAAACAACCAGCCAGAUUGGACAUCCAUAACUUUCGUUGUAAUUAUCAAGUGGUGCAAACAAUCGAUGCAAAAUUAAUUCCAUCAAUAAUAUGAUGAACAAUUGAACACAUAAUUUGGAAAAAGAAGAAGAUAGGCACAUGUCAAGUAACUAAUUCAGGUUAAUCAUGGUAUUUGACGAAUUCUAGCAUGAUUUAAGUUUGCAUUGUCGAGUGUCGCUUAGCAGGAAAUUCUUGGAUUUUUAUAUGUUAGUACCUAUAAUUGUACGGGGGCCUUCGUGACAUCUCCAAUCCUGAAGACAUCUCAGUUUAGGGAUAAUGGUGACAUCUUCCGGCCUUGACCUGUCUGCAAAUAAUCCUUAACAGCUAUAAGUUAGUUUCAGUACAUACCCUUAAGCUUUUCAACAUGCAGACAACAAUGGUACGGUUACAUAGUAAAACUCAACCAGAUCACCUUAUGUGCAUGCUGAAUUUCUACUAUACGGCUAGCUUGGUUGAGACAAAACAAUGCAAAACUAAUCUAUAUUCAUUAAUUAAAACAAAAAAUACCAGGUGAAGGUAUCCUAAUUAAAGAAACAAAAGUAAGUCCCCGUAAAAGAAAUAAGAAAGAACCAUCUCCAAGAAGGAGAGAUUAGACCUAUACCAAAGCAUUCAUUAGCUAAACAAAAAGAAAAUUUAUCUCAGGAGCUUGCUUCGAAUUGCUUACCUUUCCUGCCCAAAUUUCCCUUUUACUUAAGACCGCAUUGAUGUCUUGCACUUAAGGGUAACAUGAUUGAGAACAACAACACUGAAACUAUCUUGUGAUUUUCUAAUAGAGAAGUACACAAUUAAUAUGGCAAUGACAUAUACUUAUAAUUUAUUUAUAGGAAAGGCCACAAAGGACAUACAUAGAGGUCUGGUCACAGAAGCAUCACCCAUGAGUAGUCUUUAUGCUCAGACAUUUAGAGGAACACUUGUUGCACACACUGCAAUCUCACAAUAGGAGAGAAAAAAUGCUACAUAUCGGAGUGGAGUUAGGGAGAGAUGUUACUGCUAUAUAC
rnacentral:lncRNA from 1 species